AAACUGUGGGGACACGUGUGGAGAGCACAAGCCGGAAAUGGAAAAGCCGGUGCAAGCGAGGUAGGAGAUGAACAGGCAAAUCCGUUCAUCAAUCCGAAGACGUGAUGCGGACCGAAUUAAGAGUAGGGAAGUGUGUGAGCCAUGCGUCAAGAAAAGCCGCUAUUGUUUUACUUAAGCCCGUACCGUAAACCGACACAGGUGGAUGAGGAGAGAAUCCUAAGGCCGACGGGAGAAGCAUUGUUAAGGAACUCGGCAAAAUGACUCCGUAACUUCGGGAGAAGGAGUGCCAGCGAGAGCUGGCCGCAGAGAAUUGGCCCAAGCAACUGUUUAGCAAAAACACAGGUCUAUGCAAAACCGUAAGGUGAAGUAUAUGGGCUGACGCCUGCCCGGUGCUGGAAGGUUAAGAGGAGAGGUUAGCGGUAACGCGAAGCUUUGAAUUUAAGCCCCAGUGAACGGCGGCCGUAACAAUAACGGUCCUAAGGUAGCGAAAUUCCUUGUCGGGUAAGUUCCGACCCGCACGAAAGGCGUAAUGAUUUGGGCACUGUCUCAACAAUGCACCCGGUGAAAUUGAAAUACCAGUGAAGAUGCUGGUUACCUGCGCCAGGACGGAAAGACCCCAUGGAGCUUUACUCCAGCUUGAUACUGGGAUUCGGUAUUGCAUGUACAGGAUAGGUGGGAGGCUAGGAAGUGAUAACGCCAGUUGUCACGGAGCCGCUGUUGGGAUACCACCCUUGCAGUAUUGGAUUUCCAACCAGCGACCAUGAACUGGUCGGGGGACAAUGUCAGGUGGGGAGUUUGACUGGGGCGGUCGCCUCCGAAAGGGUAUCGGAGGCGCUCAAAGGUUCCCUCAGAAUGGACGGAAACCAUUCGAAGAGUGCAAAGGCAGAAGGGAGCUUGACUGCGACACCGACGGGUGGAGCAGGUACGAAAGUAGGACUUAGUGAUCCGGUGGUAUAAAGUGGGAUUGCCAUCGCUCAACGGAUAAAAGCUACCCUGGGAUAACAGGCUUAUCACUCCCAAGAGUUCACAUCGACGGAGUGGUUUGGCACCUCGAUGUCGGCUCAUCGCAUCCUGGGGCUGAAGUAGGUCCCAAGGGUUGGGCUGUUCGCCCAUUAAAGCGGUACGCGAGCUGGGUUCAGAACGUCGUGAGACAGUUCGGUCCCUAUCCGGCGUGGGCGUAGGAUAUUUAAGAGGAGCUGUCCUUAGUACGAGAGGACCGGGAUGGACUGGCCGCUGGUGUAUCUGUUGCAUACCAAAUGCAUGGCAGAGUAGCCAAGCCGGGACGGGAUAAACGCUGAAGGCAUCUAAGCGUGAAGCCCCCCUCAAGAUGAGAUAUCCCUACGUAAGUAGUAAGACCCCUUGAAGACGACGAGGUAGAUAGGUCAGAGGUGGAAGUACAGUAAUGUAUGGAGCUGACUGAUACUAAUCGGUCGAGGGCAUGACC
rnacentral:rRNA from 1 species